CCAGACUCCUACGGGAGGCAGCAGUGGGGAAUAUUGCACAAUGGGGGAAACCCUGAUGCAGCAACGCCGCGUGAGUGAGGAAGUAUUUCGGUAUGUAAAGCUCUAUCAGCAGGGAAUAGAAAAGAAGGUACCUGAAAAAGAAGCCCCGGCUAACUACGUGCCAGCAGCCGCGGUAAUACGUAGGGGGCAAGCGUUAUCCGGAUUUACUGGGUGUAAAGGGAGCGUAGACGGCUGAGCAAGUCUGAAGUGAAAGGCGGGGGCCCAACCCCCGGACUGCUUUGGAAACUGUAUAGCUAGAGUGCAGGAGAGGGAAGUGGAAUUCCUAGUGUAGCGGUGAAAUGCGUAGAUAUUAGGAGGAACACCAGUGGCGAAGGCGGCUUACUGGACUGUAACUGACGUUGAGGCUCGAAAGCGUGGGGAGCAAACAGGAUUAGAUACCCUAGUACUA
rnacentral:rRNA from 1 species